UUUCUUGUUUUAUCAAAUGACACCAUUUUUUAACAUUAAAACUAAAAGAAAUUGGAUGGCAAUCUGCCAUUUUCUUUAAACAAUCAAAGCAAAUCCCUAAUUUUCCCCUUUUUUUAAUCGAUUCUCAAAGACCAAACCCUAGCCACUUCAAAAACAAAGGAAAUUUCCCCUUUCACUAUUCGGCCGAUUAACACUCUAAAAUCUUCAUCUCAGGCUUCGAUUUCGACGAAGGAGAUAAGGACUUCGAUGGCUCGUUUUCGAAGGUGUUGAGAAACGGCGGUACGGAGGAAUCCGCUCGUGGAAGCCGUGCGUGGGAAUCACUCGUGGGAUCAAUCUGUUGCUGCUCUAGCGUCUUCCAGAAACCCCUAGGGUUUCUGGUGCUUUCACAUUAUUGGGCUCCUUUGGGCUGUUUAGGAAUUGGGUCAAGGGUUAAGUUAGGGGUUUUGGGUGUAAUGGGAUUUUGGGUUGGUGUUUUGGGCCUUUAUUUAUUUUUUUAGGUUAAUUGUAAAUGGACUUUUUAUGAACUGUGAGUUUUUUUUUUAUGUUUCUCAA